rnacentral:tRNA from 7 species
GGAAGCGUGGCAGAGUGGUCGAUUGCACCGGUCUUGAAAACCGGCGAUGGGAAACUAUCCGUGAGUUCGAAUCUCACCGCUUCCGCCA